rnacentral:rRNA from 1 species
GCUAACUACGUGCCAGCAGCCGCGGUAAUACGUAGGGUCCAAGCGUUAAUCGGAAUUACUGGGCGUAAAGCGUGCGCAGGCGGUUGUGCAAGACCGAUGUGAAAUCCCCGAGCUUAACUUGGGAAUUGCAUUGGUGACUGCACGGCUAGAGUGUGUCAGAGGGGGGUAGAAUUCCACGUGUAGCAGUGAAAUGCGUAGAGAUGUGGAGGAAUACCGAUGGCGAAGGCAGCCCCCUGGGAUAACACUGACGCUCAUGCACGAAAGCGUGGGGAGCAAACAGGAUUAGAUACCCUUGUAGUC